rnacentral:lncRNA from 1 species
UUAAAGUCAGAAACACAUUAUUGAUUAAGUUACAGGGAAACAGAGACCCAUAUACACUGCAGGUAAGAGGGUAACUUGGUCCAUCUAUUUGGCAGAGUUCCUCGGUUUUUUCUACAAGAACAACUUAGCCUUGCCUGAAGGAAAAACCUAGAAGCAAUUUGAAUUCUAGAUCUAUAGCUUAGACAAAAACCAUGUCCAUGAGUGUGAGGAUUCAUGCUGUGGGAGAGUCUCCACGCUCCCCACCCACUCCCAGCCACCAGGCGAGACUCUGUGAAUCACAGACGCCAGGUAUGCCGACAGAAGCGUGUGCUUUUAUUUGUUCUCUGGUCAAAACACAUUUUCCGUGCCCAGCCCUUUUCUGGGUGCCAGGAAUACACAAAGGACCGGGCACAGAGGAAGCAUCCGUGGCAGCACCAAGGCUUCAGCGGGGACUGCGGAUACCUCAGGCUUGUGUGGGAAGUGGACUCCCUGGACACCAGGAAUCCUCAGCUUCAUCACACUGGCAUCAAUCUGUCUGCAGAAAGAACAUUAGAUCAGCACGUCUACCUAUGGGGCAGCCACCUUAUGUCCAGAUUCUCCACCUCAAGUGGGACCCUGGCCAACAAGUUCCAAGGCCAUUUGGGGCAGGAAAGAUGGAGCGCGAGGUGGCAAAAUUGAAGAAUCACUGGUCUUGGGAUGGGAAAACUGAGGUUCAGAGAGAUACAGUCGUCCUUCACAGUCACACUGGCCCACACCAAAGAUGUCUGAGACGGAAGCCUUGCCCCAGGUGACUGACUGCAUUGAACACGGUGGAUGCCAUGCUCAGGUCAAGAUCCUGGUCGACAUGGAGGCUCCAGGGAAGAAACCUGAGAAC